UCGAACGGGCUAGUGCUUCGCACUAGUCUCUUUCUGGGGUUGUUACUCUAAGGCUACCUGCUAAAGUUAUUGCUUUAAAGCAGGGGUUUUAGGAGACUUUCCCCGAAAGGGGCCAGUGCGGAGCACUGGCCAGUGGCGAACGGGUGAGUAACACGUGGGUAAUCUACCCUCGAGUGGGGAAUAAGCUUCCGAAAGGGGGUCUAAUGCCGCAUAACGUUUCAUAACGAUGGUUAUGAAACCAAAGCCCAAAAGGCGCUCGAGGAGGAGCCUGCGUCCUAUCAGCUUGUUGGCAGGGUAAUGGCCUACCAAGGCUAUGACGGGUAGCCGGCCUGAGAGGGUGUCCGGCCACACUGGAACUGAGACACGGUCCAGACUCCUACGGGAGGCAGCAGUGGGGAAUUUUGCGCAAUGGGGGAAACCCUGACGCAGCGACGCCGCGUGGAGGAUGACGGCCUUCGGGUUGUAAACUCCUGUCAGAAGGGACGAAAUCCCGCAAGGGACUGACGGUACCUUCAGAGGAAGCCCCGGCUAACUACGUG
rnacentral:rRNA from 1 species